rnacentral:lncRNA from 1 species
GCGGGGAGGCAAAGUUUUGAUGGCGAAAAAAAUUCAUGAGUUAUUAAUUACUAAAAAAAAAGAAUCAAGCAAUUAAAAGCUGAUUGAAUGAACACUACAAAGUUUAUAAAUUUUUAAUAAUCUGUGUCGAUGCCAACAAGAAUAGUGUAAAUAGGAAAUGAGCUUAUGUAAUCGUAAUAUUAAUCGAUGAAUAAAGGGAGAAGCUUAUAGCUCACAUGCUUGGGUAUAAUAAGUAUUGAUACAUUGAUUUCUACCAAGUUUUUCUGAGCUUCUAACAGGUUAAAGCUUGGGUGUGUAAUUCAGGAAACUCGGGGCAUUUUCUAAUAAUUUUUUUAAAAAAUUUAAUUUUCGUUAUCGGCAUCAUGAAAGAAGUCAAUGGUCAAGAAACUAGUUUUGUUAUGUUGUAGAAUGACCAAAUUAUCCCUUUGCCCUUUUUUUUUUUUUAGUUUUUUCUUAUAACAGGAGCUUAAGCGUAAUAACAAACCUGAAUAUGCAGCCUUUGAUAAAAUGUGGACAGAAUGCUCGGUAUCAGGCUGAGGAUAUCGUUUUUAGAGCUGGAGUUAAUACAGAUCGACUGCCGAAUAAUGUGGGAAUUAAUUCUAUUAAGCUUGUUUUCAGUGCAGUCCUAGACUUAUUUUCUGAAAUAAAUCGACGCAGAAUUAUCUGAUCUGAUUUAAAUUUGCAUUCAGGCUGUGAGUCGAUAAGAUAAUCAGUACAAGCAUUUUGAACGUUACACAUCUCACGGUGGAAAAAGUAAUGGGUGAAAUUAUUAAAGCUAUUCAAUCUAAGGAUGAAAUAAAAUUGGACGAGGCUUUUUCAGUCGAUGUUAUUACAAUAAGACGUCCUGUAGGCCCCGACCAAACGAACAGAAAAGUGAUAAACGUUGACAAGUACUCUAAAAAUCAAUUUUGACUGUACCAGAAGACGAUUAGGGCCUUUGUUGUGCUAAAGCCAUUAUAUACGCUUUGGCACACAAAAAAGGUGACUCAAGAGCAAUAAAUGCACUGAAUGACAGGCAACGACUAGCUAUCAAAUCAAGCCCGAGCUCUGCACUUGGCCGCGUAUGUUCCUGUUGGACUAUGCGCUCUAACAGAAAUAAACACAUUCAGGAAACUACUCAAAAUUCAAAUUGCUGUAUUUUCUUCUGAAACUCUGAACCGAGUAAGAAAAAAUGAUAUUCCAUCUUUCUUCUACUUACGUAUGUACGUUUGUUAUUAUUCACAGACUUAUUUUUAUUUUAGUUUAUCUACAAAGGAGAAGCACAGAACGUGAGAAUGGAUUUGUGGCUCCACGAUUAUCAUUACGAUGUCAUAAAGUCUGCUAAUGGGUUCUUUGCCGCAAAUUUUAUCUAUACUGAAGGUGACAAACCAUUAAAUAGAAUGGAAGAUCAGCUCUCAGCCCUAUAUGCUUAAGUCCCAGGAAGUGCAACGAUUGCAACAGGCUGUGCAGAUUUGAGCGUUGUUUUAAAGCAGUGUCCGGAAAACAAGAAAUGUCUGUGACUGGGUAUGUAUUACUCUUAUUUUCGUAACGUAUUUACAACGUAUUAUUCCCAAGAUUUUAUAGUUAUAAUUAGUUUAUUUAUCAAUGUAUUUAUGUUUGAAUAUAUAGAUUUAUCAGUACAGAAAAUGUUGCAAAAGGAUUCGUCGGAGAUACUGCCUACGCAAAGAAUACCAAGGUGGUACAAUUAAGUGCAAGUCUUUCAGAAAAUACCAAGAUGCAUCUGUGCUACGUACGAGUCAUCCAGCCAAAAAAUUAGAAUGCUCAUAUUCUUUGAUUUUGAAACUGAUCAAGAAUUCGGAGAACAUAAAGUCAAUUUUGCUGUUGCACAGUACUCCAGUGGUGAAGAAAUAAAUUUUAAAGAUUACGAAGCUUGUGCAGAGUUUUGUGCCUUGCUCUUUUCAUUGAAGCAUCGGGUAUAUACAGCAAUAGCUCACAACAUGAAAGGUUUCGACGGUCAAUUUGUGAUGGCUUGGUUGUUAGAGCAAGGUGUAGUGCCCGAGAUAAUACCAAAUGGAUCUCUGAUAAUGGGUUUAACACUUUCUUCUUGGAACAUCACUGUGAUCAACCCUCUGAAUUUUUUACCAAUGCCAUUAGCCAAGCUACCGACAUGUUUUGGUUUAGCAGAACAGAAGAAAUGAUUCUUUCCCCUUACUUUCAAUGUAAGGAAGAAUCAAAAUUACGUUUGACCCAUGCCUUCAAUUGAGACGUAUCAUCCAUAUAGAUACGCCCCCAAGAAAUCUUUUUGAAUUGAUAUGAAGCACAUAAAAAGGAUACUUUUGAUUUUCAAAAAGAGAUGCUGGAAUACUGUUGUUCUGAUGUUGACAUUCUUCGGCGAUGCUGUAUGGAGUUUCGAAAGCAGUACCUCAUGUUACGAGAGUGGAUCCAUUUUGAGUUACAUCACUAUUACGUCUGCCUGCAUUUCUACUUAUCGAAGUAAUCGUAUCAAACCAGGAACAAUUGCCAUGGUACCCAUAACUGGAUAUAUAAAAAAAACAAAUCAUAGUGCAGAUGCCAUGCUGUGGUUGGAUUUUACAGCGUUAAAAGAAAAGAAAACAAAAUACAUCAUUCUCUCAGUAAUGCAGGAGGAGAAAAGAUUGAAGGCAUUUCUGUUGAUUGGUUUUGCCCAGACACACAAACCAUUUAUCAAUACCACGGGUGCUUUUACCACGGAUGCAAUAAAUUCUAUGAUGGAGAUGUUCUACAUCCUUUUGAAGGAAUCACCAUGGCAACUUAGUUCAAAAAGGCACAAGAAACAUCUCAAUGGCUACGUUCGAAGGGUUUUAAAGUAGUCGAAAUAUGGGAGCACGACUUUCUUAAAAUGAAGAAAGAGAGAGAACUAAUUGAUUUUCUCAAGAAUCAUAACUUUAAGAACAGACUAAAUCCAAGGGAUGCCUUUUUUGGUUGCCGAACAAAUGCAGUUAUACCAUGAAGGACCUGCGAAAUACGUUGAUUUCACGUCCUUGUACCCUUGGGUGAGUUGAAUACUUUUUAUUAUUUCCAAUGGCAAGGCAAAAGGUACAAAUAGAAAGAUGAAAUAAAUAACGAAUACAAAUGUACGUAGGAUAACAAAGAAAGAAGACCGAAGUCAUUGCCUUAAAAGUUCUCUUGCUUCCCAAUGUCUUGAGGGCUCAGUGUGUCCAUGAAGGUCCCCACAUAGAAACAGGUGGUCCCUGCCCAAUUUCUCACCAGAUUUACAAAGUGGACAAAAAGGCGUGGUGGAAAGGACUAUGCGGUAUAAGUGAGCAGAAAGACAAUCGUGGCCUGUAUAUAAGCGGAAGGCCGCAACUGCAUCACGUCUUGGUUUGUCGGGAAUUAAAGAAGGGCUCACAUUUCUCCAACGUUUCAAAGCUAUGCGAGUCUGAAGGUCUUGCAAUGAGUUGGUUUUACAUAAAUUGAGUUGAAUACUAUAACUGUUCAUUUUUUUUAAUAUUAUUUUCAUUUUCUAAGUUUUAUUUUUUUAUGUUUAGAGUUAAUUUUUUUUUCUUAUACAGGUCAAUAAGUGUUGCUAAUAAUCGAUCGGACAUCCCAAAAUUUUAACAGAAAAUUUGACAAAUAUGGAUCAAUACUUUGGUCUUGUACACUGUAAAGUAGUACCUUUUUGCAGUUUGUACCUUCCAGUGCUCCCAUAUCUUUGUGCAGAACUUGCACAGAAAAUCUACAACAGUCUAAAUGCACACAUAGUGAAGAGCGAGCCCUUACUGGAAUAUACUGGUUAGUGAUGAAUUAAAACUGGCAAAGAAGGGAUACUCCAUCAAUCAUAUUUAUGAAGUCUACCAUUUUGAAAAAACGUCAGAUGAAUUGUUUAAAACCUACAUUAGCAUGUUUUUAAAAAUGGAACAAGAAAGCAGUGGAUGGCCACGUGGGUGUGAGAUGGAGGAACAAAAGUCUGAAUACAUCAGAGAAUAUGAAGAAAAGCAGGGCAUUAAACUUGACCCUGGCGGAAUUGAAUUUAAUCCAGGACGGAGACAAGUGGCUAAGUUAGCCUUAAAUUGCUUAAUGGGCAGGUAAGAUGUUUAUUUCUUCCGUUUUUAAUGUUCUUUACACUUAAUUUUUUCAAAUUAUGUUUAUUCAAAGUGAUAAUUUUUUUACCAGAUGGGGUAUGAGUACGAGCAAAAAACAAACGAGCUGCGUACAUUCUAUUCCACAGUUCAACAAAUUAUUAGCGGAUACUACGAAAUUUCUCAAGAAUAUGUCGUCUCACAAGACAGUUCAACAAACAUUUUCCUGGCUGCUUUCACUACCAUAUGGGCCCGAUUGAAGUUAUAUGAAGAACUGGACAAACUUGGGAGAGACGUUCUCUAUCACGACACUGACAGCAUCAUUUACAUCUCAACAGGAUUUAAUGAUCCUCCUAUUGGAAAUUUCCUGGAAGAACUCACGGAUGAAGUAGACGGGGACAUCCUUUUGUUUCUGGUGGCCCUAAAAAUUACGCCUUCGAGACCUACUGGGAAAACAGCCUGUAAAUUUCGAGGGUUUACACUAAACUUCAAGAAUUCAUCAACUUCAAUUCCAUGAAAGAACUUUUAAAAGAGAUGGACAGUAAUAUCGUCAUACACAAUCCAGCAAAAAUUGUAAGAGAUGGAAAACGUCGUGAAGUUGAAAAUAAGACUUUCGUCCGGAAGCAGAUGAUCGUUUGCACUUGCGCACUGGAAUUUUUCCGAAGACAAACAGUUAUCAACCUCAACAGUCAGUUGCACUUUAACUCUUGAAAUGUCUUCAGCCAUCAUGCUUGACUUCGAAGGAUUUCAGUUAAAAUCUUAGGACUUCAGGAAACUUGCAUCAUAUGGAAUGGGAGUAUGAAAAAUUGCCCUACUCUUCUUUAAGUUGUAUUCUGACAUUUUUGUCUCUUGUUUUUGAUGAUAUAUAUCUCAAAAACUCUGAAAAAGCUGAGUUUUUAACAGAAUUUUUGGGAAGAAAUGUAAUGAUUUUAAAUUGCCCUAAGGUAGAAUAUUUAUGAAAAGAUAAUUCUGUUUCACGUAGUUUUCAUGGUGACAGUUUUAAACACUGUGCUUUAACAAAAGCAGCUGCUUAUGCUCAGUUUAUAAGAACAAGUAAAUUAUGGGAUUGUGAUAGUUGCUUAUGGUAUGUCGACAUAAAUUUUUUAAAGCUCCUCAAUAAGAGUAGAGCAAAAGCUACUCUCUGAAGAAAGUGUCCCAAUAGACAUAUUAAGUCAAUUUGUGAGUGUGCUCUCAACCUUUUAAGAGGAAACGUUCCCCUUAGUAAAUGAUUUAAAAGUAGUUUAGCUCCUUUCAAAUAAGUUCUUCGAUAACUGAGAGAAAAAAGAAUUCCUAUUUACAAAAAGAGACCACUUCUGAUCCAAAAAAGUGAAGACUUAUCUUUUCUUUUACCAUCGGCAGUUGGCGUAUUAUCUUCUCUUCUUAAUGGAGCACUUACCAUCAGUAAUUGGCGUAUUAUCUUCUCUUCUUAGUGGAGAGUAACUAAAAAUAUGAUUUAGUGCCAUACAACAGUUUGAGGAGCAGCAUUUAAACGAAUAGAUUCAGAAAUGCAUAAUAUACUGCAUAGUAAUCUUCUUGAUGAUGAAAAAAUCAAACUUAAUUUUCAAGUUCUACAAAAAUGUAUCGCAUUUCCAUCGAUAAAUAACGUGUCAUCGGUGAAUGAAUUAUCUUCUGAACUCCCAACAUACGAUUCUGAAAAAGAUUCUUUUAGAACCUUUGGGAACUGAUGACCCAGAAAUUACUCCAAAAAAUCUUAAACUUUUUCACCCAACUCGUAAUUCAAAGGCAAAAGCUUCAAAAAAUUUGGAAUUUGAGAUUGUACAAUCUACACCCUUAAAAUAUCAAAAUGUAUUAAAAGACUUGUUAGAUUUUUUACUACAAAAUAAUGUUAUUAGGACUGAUAAAAAAGAAAUAAUCAUAAAUGGAAAAGUGAUUUCAGGUUAAAAUGCGUCGAAAAUCGUGAAUUUAUUCUUAAGGCAAGGAAAAAUAAAACUUCUUGGCUAUGAAGAAAUGCAAAACAUAAUUGUACUUCAUAAUUUUAUGUAAAAAAAUAAUAGCUUGCUAAAAACCAGAACUUUUGUUAAAACAAAAAAUGUAAAAAC